AGCCAUGAGCAGCGGGGCCGGGGGACCCUGGCCUUGUCCUCCUCUACCAGGCGGGGCCGCUCCCUCAGAACCCCGCGGCAGGGAACAUCGCUCGGGACCCGACUGGAGAAUUGCAACUUUUCCACCUUAAAGUUUAAAGAUAAGAAAUAACCCUGUUACAGAAGAUUCAAGAAAGAUGACUGCAAUGGUUUGGACAUCUGUCAAGAAUGGACCUAGGAAAGGUUCCAUACAUGGCAAUACACGCCAGCGUGGAAGGAACUAGCAGUAGAAGACCAAGGAUGCAUUGAAUAGACACUGUAAAGAAUGACAGAGAACAAUUUUUUUUUAAAGAUGAACAAAGCCAUGAAGCUAGGACAAAACAGAAAGUGGCGGAAAGAUUUCAUUCAGCCCCAUCAUCACUGUUGAGCUGACAGACAGGAAUCAGAAAAGAAGAUAGUAUCACACCGUAUACAUUGUCACAUUGUCCAUUUACUAUUUAGCUAGUAGGUCUAGCUCCACCUAAUGUUGCAUGCAAGAGUAUCACUUUCUUAGUAUGAUAUAAUAAAUGCAUUGCAAAUGUUUAAGAUAAAUAGAUGCUGUAUAAAUUUAUCCAUAGUAACCCUCUGAAUUAGGAACUUGUUCUAAUUCUCAGGCAUAAAGCUAAGGCAAAAUUGAGUUAAGAUUAAAAGGACAUGUCAGUAAUUUAGGGGAAAAUGAGAUAUUUAUAAAAAUAUGAACUAUUUAGAAGCUCAACAUUUAUUUGAGAUAUUAUCAGUAACUUAAGGGUAACUGAUACAGGGUGGCUUGCCCCUUAAGGGACCGAGGCUGGGCCCAACCAACCCCAAUUACUGAAGGGACUGCUCCACCCCACUUGUGUCAUUAACAGGGGCCUGAUGGAGGGCAGCUGAUUCCCCUAUAAAGGGCAACAUGAAGCUGCAGAGGGGGGAAUCCAGGAGGCUGUGGCAAUGAUAAGGGUAAGGCUCUUGCAGGAAAGCUCCUGAGAUGAGGAGAGUUGCCCUAGCUAGAAGGACUUAGGAAUAGCCUGCUAAGGUAGGAGGAAGUCAGAGCCAGGACUCCAGCCAGGUAAAGUCUAGGAGUGACUAUUGACUUUAGGACCCAGCUCUAGGAAGUAGAGCUACCAGAGCCCUGCAUGGGACUAUUUUUAAUCCUGUUUUUAUGGUAAUGGGUCCUGUGGGAUCCUGGACCUGCUGCAGGGCUCUUCUGGGGACUCCCUAUUUAAGGGGUGGGAGAUACUCAAGGGGGCUUGGGCCUGGAGGCUCAAACAGUUGCUUGGAGAGAGACUUCAGAUUAGGACUGGGGCCUGUGAGGAAGGGCUGGAGACUUCCUAUGUAAGGGAGAGAGAAGCAGCCAACUGGGGUUGGAGGAUGGAGAGCCAGUGUGUAAGGAUUAAAUAAAUUGGAUCCUAGGUGGGGAAUGUUUUAAUUACUUUGGAGAGAGUGAGUCAUUAAGGGGCCCUGAAGAGGGGAAUAGAGAAGGGUGUUGCAAAGAGAUCUCUGGCCAUGGUGGGGCGGAGACAGAAGUGCUCAGGCUGCAAGAGGCCAACCCUAUUAGUUGUAUUGUUAUGUUACUGUAUCUCCAAAACAAGUAUGGAAGGUAGGUCGAAAGCUAGGCAUGGAAAUGCAGAGUUAAAGGCACCUAAACUAUGCCCUCUUAUGACCCCAUGAACUAAUUGUGAUUAUGACAUUUUACUGGCCUUGUGGCUCAAGACAAGGCUAAGCUGCUUUCUGGAGAGAGAUUGGCUUCCCUCCUCUCUUGCCCUGUGAAAUUCAAUGGGUCUGCUUGUGUGGGUAAGGUGGGCAAGAUUUAUUUUUAGCCCUAUCCAGCCAAAAACAUUUUUGGGGAGGCUUAUUCCACUAGCCUCCUGGAAAGUUUUAUAUAUAAUGUGUGCUGUAAGUGCUCUGAUAUACAGAUCACCAUGUGUCCCACAUCUAAUGCUGUGUUCCUUACUAUGCAAACAAUUUAAAUAAAGAGUUUAAACACACACACUCUAGAACAUCUAUUAAAGACUUGAUUCUUGUAGCACUAGAUAUCUAUAUAUGAAGUAGUGUUGCAAAAUUAGAUCAGUUUGCUGGGUGCUAUGUUAGGCAAAGCAAAAUUGCAUUUUAAUAUACUUAUUUCACUAAUGAAGAUGACAAUUCUAUGUGAUCCUGAUGUACACCUUAAUUUUGUCUUAAAUACUUUUUCACUCUGUGCUUUCCUGGCUGUACCUGAUCCCUGCUGCAGCAGUGGCCUCUAGUGGCCAAGGGGAAAGUUUGUUUCUCAUAUAGCCAGCACUAUAUGAGCAUCAUAAAGACCUUUCAGCAUUUGAAACUGUGUUUGAGUGACACAAGCCAUCAAAAAUUGUAUAAU